rnacentral:misc_RNA from 1 species
CUCACUCAGCCCGUGCGCCU